GACGAACGCUGGCGGCGUGCUUAACACAUGCAAGUCGAGCGGUAAGGCCUCUUCGGAGGUACACGAGCGGCGAACGGGUGAGUAACACGUGAGUAAUCUGCCCUUCACUUGGGAAUAACUUCGGGAAACCGAAGCUAAUACCGAAUACGACCACUGACGGCAUCGUCUGGUGGUGGAAAGCUCCGGCGGUGAAGGAUGAACUCGCGGCCUAUCAGCUUGUUGGUGGGGUCAUGGCCUACCAAGGCGACGACGGGUAGCCGGCCUGAGAGGGUGACCGGCCACACUGGGACUGAGACACGGCCCAGACUCCUACGGGAGGCAGCAGUGGGGAAUAUUGGACAAUGGGCGCAAGCCUGAUCCAGCAACGCCGCGUGAGGGAUGACGGCCUUCGGGUUGUAAACCUCUUUCAGCAGGGACGAAGCGAAAGUGACGGUACCUGCAAAAGAAGCACCGGCCAACUACGUGCCAGCAGCCGCGGUAACAC
rnacentral:rRNA from 1 species